rnacentral:rRNA from 1 species
GACGAACGCUGGCGGCGUGCCUAAUACAUGCAAGUUGAGCGCUGAAGGUUGGUACUUGUACCGACUGGAUGAGCAGCGAACGGGUGAGUAACGCGUGGGGAAUCUGCCUUUGAGCGGGGGACAACAUUUGGAAACGAAUGCUAAUACCGCAUAAAAACUUUAAACACAAGUUUUAAGUUUGAAAGAUGCAAUUGCAUCACUCAAAGAUGAUCCCGCGUUGUAUUAGCUAGUUGGUGAGGUAAAGGCUCACCAAGGCGAUGAUACAUAGCCGACCUGAGAGGGGGAUCGGCCACAUUGGGACUGAGACACGGCCCAAACGCCUACGGGAGGCAGCAGUAGGGAAUCUUCGGCAAUGGACGAAAGUCUGACCGAGCAACGCCGCGUGAGUGAAGAAGGUUGUCGGAUCGUAAAACUCGGUUGGUAGAGAAGAACGUUGGUGAGAGUGGAAAGCUCAUCAAGUGACGGUAACUACCCAGAAAGGGACGGCUAACUACGUG